rnacentral:lncRNA from 1 species
UGCUGUUUUGUACCUGAGCAGAUUCAGCUCUCUGCUGUCCGAGCUGAGGCGAAAGUCCGGUGCCUUAAGCGUGGAGAGCGGUGGUGGCCAGAGGCUUGGCGAGUUCCCCUUCAGGUGUGCCUCGGCGAGCGGCCUGUUGAAGAACAGUCAGAUUGUAAGAUCCUAGAUGGACACUUUGUUUCUCCCAUGGCCCACUAUGUGCCUGGUAUCAUGCCAAUUGAAUCUGUUGUUGCAAGAUUCCAGUUUAUCGUGCCUAAGGAAUGGAACAGCAGGUACCGACCUGUGUGCAUUCAUCUGGCUGGAACAGGAGACCAUCAUUACUGGAGGCGCAGAACACUCAUGGCUCGUCCUAUGAUUAAGGAGGCCAGGAUGGCUUCAUUGUUGUUAGAAAACCCUUAUUAUAUCCUUUUGUGAUACUCAAAACAUUUCUUUCUCUCUGUUUAUGUACUUACUCUUCAAAAGAAGAACAUCCUGUGCUCUCAACCACUGAGCCAUCUCUCCAGCCCCCAUGGUAACUAACUUUUCAAAACUAGUUAAAUUCA